CCUUGUUUGAUCCUGCCGGACCUGACUGCUAUCGGAUUGGUACUAAGCCAUGCGAGUCGUUGUAGCAAUACAAGGCGGACGGCUCAGUAACACGUAGUCAACCUAACCUAUGGACGUGGAUAACCUCGGGAAACUGAGAAUAAACCGCGAUAGAUCAUUAUGCCUGGAAUGGCUUAUGGUUCAAACAAUUUAUUGCCGUAGGAUGGGACUGCGGCCUAUCAGCUUGUUGGUGAGGUAAUGGCCCACCAAGGCUAUAACAGGUACGGGCUCUGAGAGGAGAAGCCCGGAGAUGGGUACUGAGACACGGACCCAGGCCCUAUGGGGCGCAGCAGGCGAGAAACCUUAGCAAUGUGCGAAAGCACGACUAGGUUAAUCCGAGUGAUUUCUGUUGAAGAAAUCUUUUGUCAGUCGUAAAACCACAGACGAAUAAGGGGUGGGCAAGUCUGGUGUCAGCCGCCGCGGUAAUACCAGCACCUCGAGUGGUCAGGAGGUUUAUUGGGCCUAAAGCAUCCGUAGCCGGCUACGCAAGUCUCCGGUUAAAUCCAGCUGCUCAACAGAUGGGCUGCCGGAGAUACUACAUAGCUAGGGAGCGGGAGAGGUAGACGGUAUUCUGUGGGUAGGGGUAAAAUCCACUGAUCCAUAGAGGACCACCAGUGGCGAAGGCGGUCUACCAGAACGCGUUCGACGGUGAGGGAUGAAAGCUGGGGGAGCAAACCGGAUUAGAUACCCGGGUAGUCCCAGCUGUAAACGAUGCAAACUCGGUGAUGCAUUGGCUUAUGGCCAAUGCAGUGCCGCAGGGAAGCCGUUAAGUUUGCCGCCUGGGAAGUACGGACGCAAGUCUGAAACUUAAAGGAAUUGGCGGGGGAGCA
rnacentral:rRNA from 1 species